UAAGAGCUCGUAGGCGGUUUGUCGCGUCUGCCGUGAAGUCCGGGGCUCAACUCCGGAUCUGCGGUGGGUACGGGCAGACUAGAGUGAUGUAGGGGAGACUGGAAUUCCUGGUGUAGCGGUGAAAUGCGCAGAUAUCAGGAGGAACACCGAUGGCGAAGGCAGGUCUCUGGGCAUUAACUGACGCUGAGGAGCGAAAGCAUGGGGAGCGAACAGGAUUAGAUACCCUGGUAGUCCAUGCCGUAAACGUUGGGCACUAGGUGUGGGGGACAUUCCACGUUUUCCGCGCCGUAGCUAACCCAUUAAGUUCCCCCGCCUGGGGAGU
rnacentral:rRNA from 1 species